GACGAACGCUGACGGCGUGCUUAACACAUGCAAGUCGAAGGGAGUGGCGAACGGGUGAGUAACACGUGAGUAACCUGCCCUUUUAUUUGGGAUAAGCCUGGGAAACUGGGUCUAAUACUGGAUGGAUUGGGAUGGGGUCGCGGCUUAUCGGCGUGUUGGUGGGGUGAUGGCUUAACAAAGCUUUGACGGGUAGCCGGGCUGAGAGGGUAGUCGGGCACUCUGGGACUGAGAUGCGGCCCACGCUAGUACGGGAGGCAGCAGUGGGGGAUAUUGCACAAUGGCCGAAAGACUGAUGCCGCGACGUCGAGGGGGGGAUGCGGGCCUUCGGGUUGUAAACUCGUUGCGCCCGCGGAUUGGUAGUGGGUAAAGAAGCGCCGGCUAACUACGUGCCAGCAGCCGCGGUAAUAC
rnacentral:rRNA from 1 species